rnacentral:rRNA from 1 species
UACGUAGGGGGCAAGCGUUAUCCGGAUUUACUGGGUGUAAAGGGAGCGUAGACGGUAUGGCAAGUCUGAUGUGAAAACCCGGGGCUCAACCCCGGGACUGCAUUGGAAACUGCCGAACUAGAGUGUCGGAGAGGCAAGUGGAAUUCCUAGUGUAGCGGUGAAAUGCGUAGAUAUCAGGAGGAACACCGGCGGCGAAGGCGGCUUACUGGACGGCAACUGACGUUGAGGCCCGAAAGCGUGGGUAUCGAACAGG